AUUCCAGCUCCAAUAGCGUAUGUUAAAGUUGUUGCGGCUAAAAAGCUCGUAGUUGGAUUUCUGUUGAGGACAUCUGGUCCGCUCUACGAGCGUGUAUCUAGUUUGGCCUCGGCAUCCGCUCUGCAUACGUUUCUGCGCUUGAUUGCGUGGAGCGGAGGUAGGGCCUUUUACUUUGAGGAAUUUAGAGUGUUCACGGCAGGCAGUCGCCCUGAAUAUAUUAGCAUGGAAUAAUAACAUAGGAUCUUGGUUCUAUUUUGUUGGUUUCUAGGACUAAGAUAAUGAUUAAUAGGGACAAUUGGGGGCAUUCGUAUUGCGGUGUCAGAGGUGGAAUUCUUAGAUUACUGCACGACGAACUACUGCGAAAGCAUUUGCCAAGGAUGUUUUCAUCA
rnacentral:rRNA from 1 species